AUUUCUGUCUUUAGAAGGAACGGUCCUUCAGACUCAAAUUAUUAUUUUACAAUAAUAAAAUAAUUAUUUGAGUCUCAAGGAAAGACUGUUCCUUCUAAAGACAG